UGGUUCCGGCAUCGAUGAAGAACGCAGCGAAAUGCGAUAAGUAAUGUGAAUUGCAGAAUUCAGUGAAUCAUCGAGUCUUUGAACGCACAUUGCACCCCUUGGUAUUCCGAGGGGUACACCUGUUCGAGCGUCAUUUCAACGUCAAGUUUGACUUGGAUAUGAAUCUUGUUGUGACAAGAUUUUAAUGAAAAAGGCGAUUUUUAAAUCAUCGUGAUGACUCGCAACGAUUUUAUUUGCCCAAUUGAUUUUUGAAUGAAUGUUGAUUUUUAAAUGUUGAUUUUUAAAUGUUGAUUUUUAAAUGUUGAUUUUUGAAUCAUUGAUUUUUAAAUCGACGCUCAUUUCAAAUCAUCUCAACGUUGACCUCGGAUCAGGUGGGGAUACCCGCUGA
rnacentral:misc_RNA from 1 species